UGGUCAUCAUACAUAUGGAGCUGGUGAGUGUUUCCUUGUUUAACAUUAGUAAACCUUUGACAAUUCAUACUAGAUAGCAUGGUACAUGUCAUAGUAGUAGUUCAUACUAGAUUAUGACCCUGCAAGAUUGGUGGCGUUGUCACAAAGGUAAGAGAGGGGUACUGAUUUAUUACUGCUACAACAAAUGCACUACUACUUGAUGUUUCUUUUCUAUGUAAUUUUUCAGUUUUGGUUCCGCACGUAGCCGCGUCAAAACUAUUUUCCUCUCUCGCUGCAAGUUUUGAUCCUCACUAACAUUUUUUUUAUGUUCUGUCCAACACAAUUGUUAGAUAACCUGAAUCUCUUCUUGAUUUGUUGCAGGUCCUUCCUUGCCGAGGUUUUGGUCUGCUAAAAAAGGACAUGAACUGACCCAUAAGAGAGCAGGCUGAGCAUUUUACAUGACGUCCAAGCUAUACCAGAUCACAAUGGUUUGGAUCCUUGAGUUUCUACCGUUGACUUCAAUCUAAAUCUUUAUUCCCUAGGUUGGACUCGAUGUAGAGUAUCAUGGUCACCAACUAUUGGAUAUGCUUGUUAUGCGGGAUUGCUGGUAGAGAUGGGCAAGAAAUAAGGUGUAUUUUGGAGGAAGAAGAUGGAAGUUCUUAUUGUUUGGUGUCCAAUGUAUUUUGGUUCUGGUGCCCCGGUCUAAUGAUUUUCCUUGCUGGUUAUAGUAUUUCUGGAUCAUAUGGUUCGACAUCCAUCCAUACAUAACCAUUGAAAACAUACAUAUUUCAUGCAACUUCAUUGUACUUUGAGUACUUUUAUCCAAUCUUGUCUUAUUGCUCAUACCCAGUAUCAAUGUGCUUGAAUGCCUUUUUAUGUUUGGAUGUGCCGCCGCAAGGAGGAGCGGCCGGUGGGGAUCCACAUGAGCUGGACUUUUAGCCUCCUCUGCCUCUUCGUGGUUGUAGAUUUUUCUGCGGAAGUAGCAGAUGCCCGUUCAAGCUCGGCGCAUGCGCACAUUAUUUUGGUCUGGUAUGUCCCUGUGUUGAACACCUGAAUUUAUUUCGUCUGUCUUGUUUUGUUAAUAAGAAGAAAUACAACUGGUGUGGUUGUUUUGUAGUGAAGUUUGGCAUGUUAGGUACUGAUUGAAACGGCUACUUUGAAUACAUAUGAUGCUUCAAUUUGCCAUUGGGAAGAACUGAGAGGUAUUUGAGAGGUGGUUCGAUCUUCAAUGGCGUGGUAAUAGACAUUAUACUUAUUAUCAUAGAAAUUGACAUCCUGAUGUUGCUCGUGUAAUUGGGCACCGAGAGAUUUAUGAUAUUUUAUCACUUCAGGUUGAUGACCAGAACUAUAUUAGUAAAAGCUAGGCCUUUUCUUAUAUAUGUUUUAUGUGUGUAAAUGUCCCCUCAGUUCUUGGUUGUUCUGCCUAAAUUUGCAUCAGCUGUACAUUUGCGGUGAGCACUUAGUUCAUGUAUUAGUUCAGGCUAUUGCCCUUUAAAAGAUUAGCGGAUCCCACUCCAUGCCGUUUCCUUUAAAAAAAAAUUAGAUGGCCUAAUUCCACUUUCCAUAAUAUAUGCUCCUAUGUUUAUGAUUAGACAAUAAUACUUGAAUUAUUAGGCAUUCUUGAUGUAUCUUUUUUUGGCAUGUGCUGUGUUCUGUUGUUAUGACUAUUACUUAUGCUAUUUUACGAGUGGAUAUUAGCGCAGUGGGUAGCGGGAUGCUGAACUUGCUAGCCAGAGGAAUGAAGUAGACACUUACUUUUUAUUGCACCAUUAUAUUUACAGCAUAGGUCCUUAUUAGCUAUUGUGUGUAUAAUGCUACUUCAUACUUUAGACAUUUAAGACAGCAGCUUUCAGCAGUUUGUAGCUGACGGACAAUGGAGCAAGGAUGAAACAAAACUUUUGUGGCAUUCCAAGUGCGUCUCUGCAUUCCUCGAGUAGUUGUCGAUGCUGCUCAUGCUAACAUGAAGCAGAGGUGG